rnacentral:sRNA from 1 species
GUUCCGCGGAGCCCGGCCGAGGAGGUCCCUAUGUUAACUACUUGAGACAAAAAUAAAUAUGGCCUUCUACAGUUAUAAUUCAGUUCUGGCUAUUGCUCGAACAAGAUUCCCAUUUAAAUAAGAAAUGUAUGAAGAACUAUGAGAGCAAGAAGUACUCGGAUCCUAGUCAGCCAGGCAAUACAGUACUUCACCCAGGAACUAGACUAAUACAAAAGCUACACACAUCCACUUGCUGGCUGCAAGAAGUUCCUGGCAAACCUCAGCUGGAGCAAGCCACAAAACAUCCACAGGUGACAAGCCCUCAGGCCACAAAAGAGACUGGCACGAAGAUUAAAGAAGGCAAACAAUCUUAUAGACAAAAAAUCAUGGAUGAACUAAAAUAUUAUUACAAUGGAUUCUACUUACUUUGGAUUGACGCCAAAGUUGCUGCCAGAAUGGUUUGGAGGCUGUUGCAUGGACAGGUCCUGACCAGACGAGAGAGACGAAGGUGUUUCUGAAACUCUUCCCAGAGAUGUUGCCAUCAACUUUUGAAAGUGAAUCCAAAAAGGAAGAAAAACAGAAAAAGAAAAUGGCUGUAAAGUUGGAACUAGCAAAAUUUCUUCAAGAAACCAUGACAGAAAUGGCAAGGAGGAACAGAGCCAAGAUGGGCGAUGCCUCUACACAGCUCUCAUCCUACGUGAAGCAGGUCCAGACAGGCCACAAGCCCAGCACAAAGGAGAUAGUUCACUUCUCCAAACUAUUUGAGGACCAGCUGGCCCUGGAACACUUAGAUCGCCCUCAGCUGGUUGCCCUUUGCAAACUGCUGGAAUUGCAGACAUUUGGAACCAACAACCUGCUCCGCUUUCAGCUCCUGAUGAAACUGAAGUCUAUAAAAGCAGAUGAUGAAAUAAUUGCCAAGGAAGGGGUGACAGCAUUGAGUGUAUCAGAACUACAGGCUGCCUGUAGGGCCCGAGGGAUGAGAUCACUGGGUCUCACGGAAGAACAACUGCGACAACAGCUCACGGAGUGGCAGGACCUCCACCUGAAGGAGAACGUCCCUCCUUCCCUUUUGCUCCUGUCCCGCACCUUCUACCUGAUAGAUGUGAAGCCCAAGCCGAUUGAGAUACCACUCAGUGGGGAGGUGAGUACCUGGGUUAAUGGGGACCCUCGACGUCCAUCCAACUGAGGCCUCUCCACAAACACUUGGUGUACUCUUGCAGUUAGAGCAGGCAUUUCUUUUGGCCUUUUAGAAUUUGACCCAACUGGCUUUAUGUGUUUUAAAAAUUUCUAAAAAAACCAACCAACCAACCACAAACAAAACAAAGGAAGGCCAGGCACAGUGGCUCACGCCUGUAAUCCCAGCACUUUGGGAGGCCGAGGUAGGUGGAUCACCUGAGGUCAGGAGUUUGAAACCAGCCUGACCAACAUGGUGAAAUCUCGUCUCUACUAAACAUACAAAAAUUA